rnacentral:rRNA from 1 species
AUUGAACGCUGGCGGCAUGCCUUACACAUGCAAGUCGAACGGCAGCACGGGAGCAAUCCUGGUGGCGAGUGGCGAACGGGUGAGUAAAGUAUCGGAACGUGCCCAGUCGUGGGGGAUAACGUAGCGAAAGUUACGCUAAUACCGCAUACGAUCUAUGGAUGAAAGCGGGGGAUCGCAAGACCCUGCGCGAUUGGAGCGGCCGAUAUCAGAUGAGGUAGUUGGUGGGGUAAAGGCUCACCAAGCCGACGAUCUGUAGCUGGUCUGAGAGGACGACCAGCCACACUGGUACUGAGACACGGCCCAGACUCCUACGGGAGGCAGCAGUGGGGAAUUUUAGACAAUGGGCGAAAGCCUGAUCCAGCCAUGCCGCGUGCAGGAUGAAGGCCUUCGGGUUGUAAACUGCUUUUGUACGGAACGAAAAGGUUUGGCCUAAUAAGCUGAGCUCAUGACGGUACCGUAAGAAUAAGCACCGGCUAACUACGUGCCAGCCGCCGCCGUAA